UCAACAACGGAUCUCUUGGUUCUGGCAUCGAUGAAGAACGCAGCGAAAUGCGAUAAGUAGUGUGAAUUGCAGAAUUCAGUGAAUCAUCGAAUCUUUGAACGCACAUUGCGCCCCUUGGUAUUCCAUGGGGCAUGCCUGUUCGAGCGUCAUUUGUACC
rnacentral:rRNA from 1 species